CGAAGGGAGCUAGCGUUGUUCGGAAUUACUGGGCGUAAAGGGCGUGUAGGCGGUUCCAUAAGUCAGAUGUGAAAGCCCUAGGCUUAACCUAGGAGGUGCAUUUGAUACUGUGGAACUAGAGAUCGAGAGAGGAAAGUGGAAUUACGAGUGUAGAGGUGAAAUUCGUAGAUAUUCGUAAGAACACCAGUGGCGAAGGCGACUUUCUGGCUCGAUACUGACGCUAAGGCGCGAAAGCGUGGGGAGCAAACAGGAUUAGAUACCCUGGUAGUCCACGCUGUAAACGAUGAGUGCUAGAUGUUGGUGAAGGAAUUCAUCAGUGUCGCAGCUAACGCAUUAAGCACUCCGCCUGGGGAGUACGGUCGCAAGAUUA
rnacentral:rRNA from 1 species